rnacentral:rRNA from 1 species
AGUCACUGACAUUAGAUACCCCCGUAGUCCAGGGUGUAAACGCUGCAGACUUGGUGUUGGAGGCCCUUUGGGGGCAUUCAGUGCCGGAGAGGAGUUGUUAAGUCUGCUACUUGGGGAGUACGUCCGCAAGGAUGAAACUUAAAGGAAUUGGCGGGGGAGCACCGCAACGGGAGGAGCGUGCGGUUUAAUUGGAUUCAACACCGUAAACUCACCAGGGAAGACUGUUACAUGAAGGCCGAGAUGAAGACUCUGCUAGAUUUUCAG